rnacentral:rRNA from 1 species
GGGAGUGAAAUAGAACCUGAAACCCUGCACUUACAAGCUGUGGAAGCACAUUUCUUGUGUGACCGCGUACUUUUUGUAGAACGGGCCAACGAGUUACGUUAAGUAGCAAGGUUAAGCACUUAAGGUGCGGAGCCGUAGCGAAAGCGAGUUUUAACUGAGCGUUCAGUUACUUGACGUAGACCCGAAACCGGGCGACCUACCCAGGAGCAGGAUGAAGCGAAAGUAAAAUUUCGUGGAGGUCCGAACCCACGAGCGUUGAAAAGCUCGGGGAUGACUUGUGGGUAGCGGUGAAAUUCCAAUCGAGCCCGGAGAUAGCUGGUUCUCCCCGAAAUAGCUUUAGGGCUAGCCUCAAGGUGAGAGAUACGGAGGUAGAGCACUGAAUGUCCUAGGGGGUAUUGCACCUACCGAAG